GGGUUGUGAGGUUAAGCGACUAAGCGUACACGGUGGAUGCCCUGGCAGUCAGAGGCGAUGAAGGACGUGCUAAUCUGCGAAAAGCGUCGGUAAGGUGAUAUGAACCGUUACAGCCGGCGAUGUCCGAAUGGGGAAACCCAGUGCAAUUCGUUGCACUAUCGUUAACUGAAUACAUAGGUUAACGAGGCGAACCGGGGGAACUGAAACAUCUAAGUACCCCGAGGAAAAGAAAUCAACCGAGAUUCCCCCAGUAGCGGCGAGCGAACGGGGAGCAGCCCAGAGUCUGAAUCAGCUUGUGUGUUAGUGGAACGGUCUGGAAAGUCCGACGGUACAGGGUGAUAGUCCCGUACACCAAAAUGCACAGGCUGUGAACUCGAAGAGUAGGGCGGGACACGUGGUAUCCUGUCUGAAUAUGGGGGGACCAUCCUCCAAGGCUAAAUACUCCUGACUGACCGAUAGUGAACCAGUACCGUGAGGGAAAGGCGAAAAGAACCCCGGCGAGGGGAGUGAAAAAGAACCUGAAACCGUGUACGUACAAGCAGUGGGAGCACCUUCGGGUGUGACUGCGUACCUUUUGUAUAAUGGGUCAGCGACUUAUAUUCUGUAGCAAGGUUAACCGUAUAGGGGAGCCGCAGGGAAACCGAGUCUUAACUGGGCGUUAAGUUGCAGGGUAUAGACCCGAAACCCGGUGAUCUAGCCAUGGGCAGGUUGAAGGUUGGGUAACACUAACUGGAGGACCGAACCGACUAAUGUUGAAAAAUUAGCGGAUGACUUGUGGCUGGGGGUGAAAGGCCAAUCAAACCGGGAGAUAGCUGGUUCUCCCCGAAAGCUAUUUAGGUAGCGCCUCGUGAACUCAUCUUCGGGGGUAGAGCACUGUUUCGGCUAGGGGGUCAUCCCGACUUACCAACCCGAUGCAAACUACGAAUACCGAAGAAUGUUAUCACGGGAGACACACGGCGGGUGCUAACGUCCGUCGUGAAGAGGGAAACAACCCAGACCGCCAGCUAAGGUCCCAAAGUCAUGGUUAAGUGGGAAACGAUGUGGGAAGGCACAGACAGCCAGGAUGUUGGCUUAGAAGCAGCCAUCAUUUAAAGAAAGCGUAAUAGCUCACUGGUCGAGUCGGCCUGCGCGGAAGAUGUAACGGGGCUAAACCAUGCACCGAAGCUGCGGCAGCGACACUAUGUGUUGUUGGGUAGGGGAGCGUUCUGUAAGCCUGCGAAGGUGUGCUGUGAGGCAUGCUGGAGGUAUCAGAAGUGCGAAUGCUGACAUAAGUAACGAUAAAGCGGGUGAAAAGCCCGCUCGCCGGAAGACCAAGGGUUCCUGUCCAACGUUAAUCGGGGCAGGGUGAGUCGACCCCUAAGGCGAGGCCGAAAGGCGUAGUCGAUGGGAAACAGGUUAAUAUUCCUGUACUUGGUGUUACUGCGAAGGGGGGACGGAGAAGGCUAUGUUAGCCGGGCGACGGUUGUCCCGGUUUAAGCAUGUAGGCUGAUUGUCCAGGCAAAUCCGGAUAAUCAAGGCUGAGGUGUGAUGACGAGGCACUACGGUGCUGAAGUAACAAAUGCCCUGCUUCCAGGAAAAGCCUCUAAGCAUCAGGUAACAUUAAAUCGUACCCCAAACCGACACAGGUGGUCAGGUAGAGAAUACCAAGGCGCUUGAGAGAACUCGGGUGAAGGAACUAGGCAAAAUGGUGCCGUAACUUCGGGAGAAGGCACGCUGGUGUGUAGGUGAAGUCCCUGCGGAUGGAGCUGAGACCAGUCGAAGAUACCAGCUGGCUGCAACUGUUUAUUAAAAACACAGCACUGUGCAAACACGAAAGUGGACGUAUACGGUGUGACGCCUGCCCGGUGCCGGAAGGUUAAUUGAUGGGGUUAUCCGUAAGGAGAAGCUCUUGAUCGAAGCCCCGGUAAACGGCGGCCGUAACUAUAACGGUCCUAAGGUAGCGAAAUUCCUUGUCGGGUAAGUUCCGACCUGCACGAAUGGCGUAAUGAUGGCCAGGCUGUCUCCACCCGAGACUCAGUGAAAUUGAACUCGCUGUGAAGAUGCAGUGUACCCGCGGCAAGACGGAAAGACCCCGUGAACCUUUACUAUAGCUUGACACUGAACAUUGAGCCUUGAUGUGUAGGAUAGGUGGGAGGCUUUGAAGCGUGGACGCCAGUCUGCGUGGAGCCAACCUUGAAAUACCACCCUUUAAUGUUUGAUGUUCUAACGUUGGCCCCUGACCGGGGUUGCGGACAGUGUCUGGUGGGUAGUUUGACUGGGGCGGUCUCCUCCCAAAGCGUAACGGAGGAGCACGAAGGUUAGCUAAUCCUGGUCGGACAUCAGGAGGUUAGUGCAAUGGCAUAAGCUAGCUUGACUGCGAGCGUGACGGCGCGAGCAGGUGCGAAAGCAGGUCAUAGUGAUCCGGUGGUUCUGAAUGGAAGGGCCAUCGCUCAACGGAUAAAAGGUACUCCGGGGAUAACAGGCUGAUACCGCCCAAGAGUUCAUAUCGACGGCGGUGUUUGGCACCUCGAUGUCGGCUCAUCACAUCCUGGGGCUGAAGUAGGUCCCAAGGGUAUGGCUGUUCGCCAUUUAAAGUGGUACGCGAGCUGGGUUUAGAACGUCGUGAGACAGUUCGGUCCCUAUCUGCCGUGGGCGCUGGAGAAUUGAGGGGGGCUGCUCCUAGUACGAGAGGACCGGAGUGGACGCAUCACUGGUGUUCGGGUUGUCAUGCCAAUGGCACUGCCCGGUAGCUAAAUGCGGAAGAGAUAAGUGCUGAAAGCAUCUAAGCACGAAACUUGCCCCGAGAUGAGUUCUCCCUGAGACUUUAAGUCUCCUGAAGGAACGUUGAAGACGACGACGUUGAUAGGCCGGGUGUGUAAGCGCAGCGAUGCGUUGAGCUAACCGGUACUAAUGAACCGUGAGGCUUAACCUUACAACGCCGAAG
rnacentral:rRNA from 1 species